rnacentral:rRNA from 1 species
AUACGUAGGUGGCAAGCGUUAUCCGGAUUUAGUGGGUGUAAAGGGCGCGUAGGCGGGGGUGCAAGUCAGAUGUGAAAUCUAUGGGCUUAACUCAUAAACUGCAUUUGAAACUGUAUCUCUUGAGUGCUGGAGAGGUAGACGGAAUUACUUGUGUAGCGGUGAAAUGCGUAGAUAUAAGGAAGAACACCAGUGGCGAAGGCGGUCUACUGGACAGUAACUGACGCUGAGGCGCGAAAGCGUGGGGAGCAAACAGGAUUAGAUACCCUGGUAGUCCACGCUGUAAACGAUGAAUACUAGGUGUGGGGGGACUGACCCCCUCCGUGCCGCAGUUAACACAAUAAGUAUUCCACCUGGGGAGUACGGCCGCAAGGUUGAAACUCAAAUGAAUUGACGGGG